rnacentral:rRNA from 1 species
AACGAACGCUGGCGACAUGCCUAACACAUGCAAGUCGAACGAGAUCUUCGGGUCUAGUGGCGCACGGGUGCGUAACGCGUGGGAAUCUGCCCUUUGGUUCGGAAUAACAGUUGGAAACGACUGCUAAUACCGGAUGAUGACGAAAGUCCAAAGAUUUAUCGCCAGAGGAUGAGCCCGCGUAGGAUUAGCUAGUUGGUGUGGUAAAGGCGCACCAAGGCGACGAUCCUUAGCUGGUCUGAGUGGAUGAUCAGCCACACUGGGAUUGAGACACGGCCCAGACUCCUACGGGAGGGAGCAGUGGGGAAUAUUGGACAAUGGGCGAAAGCCUGAUCCAGCAAUGCCGCGUGAGUGAUGAAGGCGUUAGGGUUGUAAAGCUCUUUUACCCGGGAUGAUAAUGACAGUACCGGGAGAAUAAGCUCCGGCUAACUCCGUGCCAGCAGCCGCCGUAA